GGGGUCAAACUCCCUUUGCUGCCUGGCUCCAACCCUGUCUUCUACCGGAGCAAGCUGGGGCAAAAGCUUCACCAGCCAUCUGGUUAUUUCAGUCUGGGCGAUCCACACUGCCGCUUACUAAGCAACGAGUACAACGGUCUGCAUGACCCGCAUUUGCAGGCCUGCUACAACCGCAAAGACAACCUGCGGAGACUGAAGAGAGGAGGUUACGUCACCAGGGAUGGCAAAGUUGUGUGCACUCUGUGGGCGUUCAGUGAAUACAGGCAGUAUCUGGCCACGCUCAGGACAGAGGCGGACAAAA